rnacentral:rRNA from 1 species
UACGAAGGGGGCUAGCGUUGCUCGGAAUGACUGGGCGUAAAGAGCGCGUAGGCGGAUGACACAGUCAGAUGUGAAAUUCCCGGGCUUAACCUGGGGGCUGCAUUUGAUACGUGUUGUCUAGAGUGAGGAAGAGGGUUGUGGAAUUCCCAGUGUAGAGGUGAAAUUCGUAGAUAUUGGGAAGAACACCGGUGGCGAAGGCGGCAACCUGGUCCUUGACUGACGCUGAGGCGCGAAAGCGUGGGGAGCAAACAGG